rfam:Gossypium hirsutum cultivar TM-1 chromosome 9, whole genome shotgun sequence
ACCCUUUUAACUCAGUGGUAGAGUAACACCAUGUUAAGGUGAAAGUAAUCAAUUCAAAUCCAAUAAAGGGCU